rnacentral:misc_RNA from 1 species
GAUGAGGAACGCAGCGAAAUGCGAUAAGUAAUGUGAAUUGCAGAAUUCAGUGAAUCAUCGAAUCUUUGAACGCACAUUGCGCCCGCCAGUAUUCUGGCGGGCAUGCCUGUUCGAGCGUCAUUUCAACCAUCAAGCCCCAGGCUUGUGUUGGGGACCUGCGGCUGCCGCAGGCCCUGAAAACCAGUGGCGGGCUCGCUAGUCACACCGAGCGUAGUAGCAUACACAUCGCUCAGGGCGUGCUGCGGGUUCCGGCCGUUAAACCCCUUUUUUACCCAAGGUUGACCUCGGAUCAGGUAGGAAGACCCGCUGAACUUAAGCAUAUCAAUAAGCGGAGGA